rnacentral:lncRNA from 1 species
UGAUGAUUUUGCAAAGGGGUUUCCCCCUUUGCUUGGCUCUCAUUCUCUCUUGUCUGCCACCAUGUAACAUGUGCCUGCUGCCUUCCACUAUGGUUUUGAGGCCUCCCCAGCCACGUGAAACUUCAUUUACCAACAGGGUCCUCAAACAUGGAAGAAUGAACACAACAUUUAGACAAUAUAAUUUUGUUUCUUAAAUGGAAUGUCCAAUAUACAAGCAAGUUUAAAAAUGUUCACAUGAAAAGACAAAAUAAGCAAAUGUGGAAGACUAAAUCCUGCGGAGCAGGCUCACAGCACAGGGCUGCUUACGGAGAAGACAAGACGACAGGAUGCACGAGGAGAGUGUGUGACAAUGUGAUUCCCCAGCAGAUGACCUACAGUAAUGACACAGUACAGAGGGUGUCCAAAGAAACAUUGUAAGGGGCCCAUGGGGCUGUGAAGCAUUGAGAAAUCUGAGCUGAGCUCUCACCAGCCUGGUAAAUUCCACUGGCACCAAGAUGCUGAGCCAAUUUAAAUGCAAAGCAAAAAACUUGCAAUGUUUGCCAGACUCUUUAAAAUGUAAUUAUAGCAACCCAUUCAAGGAUCAGUUUAACGUAUAAGCAACUUGGAGAAGACUGCUGAUCCCAUUCAAACAUUUUACAUUCCACAUACCUACGCAAUGACAUUACCUGGAGG